CAUGGUGGAGAGCACGGGUAGAGGUAGCCGAGGAGCUCGAAUUCGACGCCGACGACGCGCCGCGAAGUCGUUCGAGGGUACGGUUGGGAUCGUAGCACUGCGAGGAAGAUAGGCGAGGGUGUAUUUUCGCCGUUCUCGACGCCGCAUCGAUGUCCAAUUAGCCUUUGAGGUGAGUGUUCCGUUGCAUUGCUUCAAGUAUUAUCAUUUCGAGCUUGGUGCUGAUUUGCAGAAUUUCCAGCGCCGACCGUCGGUAUUUCAGUUCGUACUCGGCGUAGGAGUGUCGGGUUUCGACGGGAGUUGGUUCGUUGGAUUCGAGACUUCGAGAGGAAUCCACGAAGCCCUUACUUGCUGGAUUUGGUAACGGUUUGCUAGGUCGGAAUUUCGCUCUUCUCUGUUGCUGUUUUUGGAGGCAGAGUUAAUGUUUAUUGUCGGAUUCUCCGUGUAGAGUUUAGCGGGAGCUUGACUUUGGGCCUUGGGAGGUUUUCGGACGUUUCAGCAGGUUGUUCCGUAGCCGAGGGGAGUUCCGUGCUGCCAGGGAUUAGCGAUCGAGGUGGGUUAUAUCGGUUUAUUCCUAAGUAUUAUAGUAGUCGACAUGUAUGAUUUCCUGUUUUUGUAAAUCAUGUGGUAGCUCAAUUUCGUCGAUUGUAUAAUGAAUGAAAUUAGCUUGAGAGAAUGACUUGUAACUAUAAAUAUAUAUGUUGGACUUAGAAUUAAACUUAGGAGAAAACCAGCGUUCGGGACCUGGCAUAUGUUAAACUACCUGAUUUAGCCUAGGAGCCGUUGUAUUAUUUUAUACUGUUGCAGUAUCCUCAUAGUGAGUAUUCCAGGUAGUUUAGUUUUUAGUUACGCUCGUGCUGGGAUGCCGAGUGUAUUUUUACAGUAGAGUUCAGGCUGUUCCGGACUGUUGGAUGCCGUCGGAGUUGACGGUGGACUCGUAUCGCCUUUUUGGCGUUAGAUUGUGCCGAGGGCACGUUAUCUGUUGGUUGUUAGACCAGUUAGAGUCGGUUACUUGACUUAGCCUGUGAGAGCGGUAUGAACUUGACAGAGAUACUUGUAAACUCGUUGGGUCGCGCCCACGAAUGCCAUUCCGGAAUGAGGUUUCAGUGCGAUGAGUGUCGCAGUUUCUGUUGGACAGUUCUUGAGCCGGCUACCCUCAGGGUGGUGUACGGCGCAGCUAGAUACAGGCAGAGUGGGUCCGUUUUGGGCAGCCCGGGUGAGAUAGUGAGUGACGCUUUUCCCUACCUUUGGUGAAGUUGUGACGUGAGUGGAGUCUUAGCCGUCCUGUUGGACCUUUUCUAGAACCGACUACUCUUGUGAUAUGGUGUAGUCUAAUUAGGCGAGACGGGUGUAUUCACAGUCUUUAGAGAGUUUUCUCCGCCGGUUACUCUUAAGAUACGGUGUAGUCUAGUAGAUGAGAGGGGUGCAUUCACAGUCUCUAGAGAGUCUUCUCCGCCGGUUACUCUCGAGCUACGGCGUCACCUAAUUAGACGGGAUGGAUGUAUUCACAGUCCCUAGAGAGUUUUCUCCACCAGCUACUCCUAGAGUAGGUUACGGGUUCGAUCCGACA
rnacentral:lncRNA from 1 species